ACCUACGGGACGCAGCAGUGGGGAAUAUUGCACAAUGGGGGAAACCCUGAUGCAGCGACGCCGCGUGAGCGAGGAAGUAUUUCGGUAUGUAAAGCUCUAUCAGCAGGGACGAAAAAAGACGGUACCUGACUAAGAAGCCCCGGCUAACUACGUGCCAGCAGCCGCGGUAAUACGUAGGGGGCACGCGUUAUCCGGAUUUACUGGGUGUAAAGGGAGCGUAGACGGCUGCGCAAGUCUGAAGUGAAAGCCCGGGGCUCAACCACGGGACUGCUUUGGAAACUGUGUAGCUAGCGUGCUGGAGAGGC
rnacentral:rRNA from 1 species